rnacentral:rRNA from 1 species
GGCAGCACGGGUGAUUAACGCGUGGGAACGUGCCCUUCAGUUCGGGAUAACCCAGGAAACUUGGGCUAAUACCGGAUACGUGCGAGAGCAGAAAGAUUUAUCGCUGAAGGAUCGGCCCGCGUCUGAUUAGCUAGUUGGUGGGGUAAUGGCCCACCAAGGCGACGAUCAGUAGCUGGUCUGAGAGGAUGAUCAGCCACAUUGGGACUGAGACACGGCCCAAACUCCUACGGGAGGCAGCAGUGGGGAAUAUUGCACAAUGGGCGAAAGCCUGAUGCAGCAACGCCGCGUGAGGGACGACGGCCUUCGGGUUGUAAACCUCUUUUGUCAGGGAAGAAGCGAAAGUGACGGUACCUGAAGAAAAAGCACCGGCUAACUACGUGCCAGCAGCCGCGG